UACGGAGGAUGCGAGCGUUAUCCGGAUUUAUUGGGUUUAAAGGGUGCGUAGGCGGGCAUUUAAGCCGGCGGUCAAAUGUCGGGGCUCAACCCCGGCCCGCCGUUGAAACUGGCAGUCUCGAGUUGGAGAGAAGUAUGCGGAAUGCGCGGUGUAGCGGUGAAAUGCAUAGAUAUCGCGCAGAACUCCGAUUGCGAAGGCAGCAUACCGGCGCUCAACUGACGCUCAUGCACGAAAGCGUGGGUAGCGAACAGG
rnacentral:rRNA from 1 species